rnacentral:rRNA from 1 species
CCGGACCUGACUGCUAUCGGAUUGGUACUAAGCCAUGUGAGUCAUUGUAGCAAUACAAGGCAGACGGCUCAGUAACACGUAGUCAAUCUAACCUAUGGACGGGGAUAACCUCGGGAAACUGAGGAUAAACCCCGAUAGAUCAUUAUGCCUGGAACGGUUUAUGGUCCAAAUGAUUCGUCGCCGUAGGAUGGGACUGCGGCCUAUCAGCUUGUUGGUGAGGUAAUGGCCCACCAAGGCUAUUACAGGUACGGGCUCUGAGAGGAGAAGCCCGGAGAUGGGUACUGAGACACGGACCCAGGCCCUAUGGGGCGCAGCAGGCGAGAAACCUUUGCAAUGUGCGCAAGCACGACAAGGUUAAUCCGAGUGUUUCCUGCUAAAGGAAUCUUUUGUUAGUUCUAAAACCACUGAUGAAUAAGGGGGGGGCAAGUUCUGGUGUCAGCCGCCGCGGUAAAACCAGCACCUCAAGUGGUCAGGAGGAUUAUUGGGCCUAAAGCAUCCGUAGCCUGUUCUAUAAGUUUCCGGUUAAAUCCAUUAGCUCAACUAAUGGGCCGCCGAAAAUACUGUGGAACUAGGGAGUGGGAGAGGUAGACGGUACUCGGUAGGAAGGGGUAAAAUCCUUUGAUCUAUUGAUGACCACCUGUGGCGAAGGCGGUCUACCAGAACACGUUCGACGGUGAGGGAUGAAAGCUGGGGGAGCAAACCGGAUUAGAUACCCGGGUAGUCCCAGCUGUAAACGAUGCAGACUCGGUGAUGCGCUGGCUUGUGGCCAGUGCAGUGCCGCAGGGAAGCCGUUAAGUUUGCCGUCUGGGAAGUACGUACGCAAGUAUGAAACUUAAAGGAAUUGGCGGGGGAGCACCACAAGGGGUGAAGCCUGCGGUUC